AUUGAACGCUGGCGGCAGGCCUAACACAUGCAAGUCGAACGCGUGGCGGACGGGUGCGAAAGGUCUGUGACACUGCCCGAUGGAGGGGGCUAACUACUGGACACGGUGGCUAAAACCGCAUACCAUCUGAUAUGCCCACAUGGGAUUAGCUAGUAGGUGGGGUAACUGCUCACCUUGGCGACGAUCCCUAGCUGUUCUGAGAGGAUGACCAGCCACACUGGAACUGAGACACGGUCCAGACUCCUACAGGAGGCAGCAGUGGAGAAUAUUGCACAAUGGGCGCAAGCCUGAUGCAGCCAUGCCGCGUGUAUGAAGAAGGCCUUCGGGUGGUAAAGUACUUUCAGCGAGGAGGCGUUACUCGCAGAAGAAGCACGGGCGAACUCCGUGCCAGCAGCCGCGGUAAUAC
rnacentral:rRNA from 1 species